rnacentral:rRNA from 1 species
CCGCGUGAGCGAAGAAGGCCUUACGGGUCGUAAAGCUCUGUUGUUAGGGAAGAAUAAGUACGAGAGUAACUGCUCGUACCUUGACGGUACCUAACCAGAAAGCCACGGCUAACUACGUGCCAGCAGCCGCGGUAAUACGUAGGUGGCAAGCGUUGUCCGGAAUUAUUGGGCGUAAAGCGCGCGCAGGCGGUCCCUUAAGUCUGAUGUGAAAGCCCACGGCUCAACCGUGGAGGGUCAUUGGAAACUGGGGGACUUGAGUGCAGAAGAGAAGAGUGGAAUUCCACGUGUAGCGGUGAAAUGCGUAGAGAUGUGGAGGAACACCAGUGGCGAAGGCGACUCUUUGGUCUGUAACUGACGCUGAGGCGCGAAAGCGUGGGGAGCAAACAGGAUUAGAUACCCUGGUAGUCCACGCCGUAAACGAUGAGUGCUAAGUGUUAGAGGGUUUCCGCCCUUUAGUGCUGCAGCUAACGCAUUAAGCACUCCGCCUGGGGAGUACGGCCGCAAGGCUG